rnacentral:rRNA from 1 species
UCAGAUUGAACGCUGGCGGCGUGCUUAACACAUGCAAGUCGAACGCGAAAGGGACUUCGGUCCUGAGUAAAGUGGCGCACGGGUGAGUAACGCGUGGAUAAUCUGCCCUUAUGAUCGGGAUAACAGUUGGAAACGGCUGCUAAUACCGGAUACGCUCAAAAUGAACUUUUUUGAGGAAAAGAUGGCCUCUGCUUGCAUGCUAUCACGUAAGGAUGAGUCCGCGUCCCAUUAGCUUGUUGGCGGGGUAACGGCCCACCAAGGCAACGAUGGGUAGCCGAUUUGAGAGGAUGAUCGGCCACACUGGAACUGAAACACGGUCCAGACUCCUACGGGAGGCAGCAGUGGGGAAUAUUGCGCAAUGGGCGAAAGCCUGACGCAGCGACGCCGCGUGAGGGAUGAAGGUUUUCGGAUCGUAAACCUCUGUCAGAAGGGAAGAAACUACGUUGUGCUAAUCAGCAGCGUACUGACGGUACCUUCAAAGGAAGCACCGGCUAACUCCGUGCCAGCCGCAGC